rnacentral:lncRNA from 1 species
UACUUUUAACAGCAAAUAAAGCUAAGCUUCAGAUGUCUGAGUUCAUAUUCCAGCUUCACCAUUUACAAGCUGCGUGAUCAUAGCAUUUCAGUGAUGGUAUAAAGAGAAGAAAUGUGACUAAAUCAAAAAGGGAGAUGAUGAGGAUUGUCGAUGGAAGAAAAAGAGAAAGAAAGAAAGGAAGGAAGGAAUGAAGAAAAUGGAAGUGGGGUGGUCCCUCCUUGAAAAGGUUACAAUGGACAUGUUUCUCAAAGAGAAGUGCUUCAAAAAAGAAAGAGUAAAGAGAAGAGUAUCCAUCUUCAGCUGCAUCCAUUUGGGCAUCAUGAAAAUGUAUUUCCCAUCUGUAGGGCCAGCACAGCAAAAAAGCAUUUGUCAGGGACUCAGGUGCCCCACCUGUGUUCCUCCUUUACUCUAUAACCUUGGACAUGUCUCUUAGCUGCUUUCGUUC